rnacentral:rRNA from 1 species
CUACGGGCGGCUGCAGUGGGGAAUAUUGGACAAUGGGCGAAAGCCUGAUCCAGCAAUGCCGCGUGAGUGAUGAAGGCCCUAGGGUUGUAAAGCUCUUUUACCCGGGAAGAUAAUGACUGUACCGGGAGAAUAAGCCCCGGCUAACUCCGUGCCAGCAGCCGCGGUAAUACGGAGGGGGCUAGCGUUGUUCGGAAUUACUGGGCGUAAAGCGCACGUAGGCGGCUUUGUAAGUCAGAGGUGAAAGCCUGGAGCUCAACUCCAGAACUGCCUUUGAGACUGCAUCGCUUGAAUCCAGGAGAGGUCAGUGGAAUUCCGAGUGUAGAGGUGAAAUUCGUAGAUAUUCGGAAGAACACCAGUGGCGAAGGCGGCUGACUGGACUGGUAUUGACGCUGAGGUGCGAAAGCGUGGGGAGCAAACAGGAUUAGAUACCCGAGUAGUC